AUCCGCACCUACAUAGAUAACCACUUAGAAAGAGGUACUGAGAUCUCACCCCAACUUCUCCAAGGUAUAGAAGGUUCAAGGAUUUCUAUCAUUAUACUCUCAAAAAAUUUUGCAUCGUCAACAUGGUAUUUGAACGAAUUAUUGAAGGUGCUGGAGCGUAAAGAAUCAAAGCAACAAAUAAUUCUACCUGUAUUUUACCAUAUAGAUCCAUCGGAUGUACGCCAUCAAAGAGAUAGUUUUGGCAUAGCAUUGGCUGAACAUGCUGAUAGAUUGAAUGGAGCCAUGGAGUUGCAGAUGUGGAAGGCAGCCCUACGAGACGUUGCCAAUUUGUCCGGAUACCAUUUGACUCCUGACCGGAACGAGUCUGAAGUUAUUCAAAAAAUCGUUCAAGACGUCUCAACAAUACUACAACAUUCAGAUUUACAUGUUGCAAAGUAUCCAGUUGGAUUAAUAGGGUACUCCCAGGUACAGAAUAUCGUACGGAAUUUGCAUUUAAGUGUUGACGUACGAAUGGUAGGGAUCUUAGGCCUUGGUGGACUUGGUAAGACAACUCUGGCCAAAGCAAUUUGGAACUCGAUUGCUUUUAAAUUUGAAGCUAGUUGUUUUCUUGCAAAUGUCGGUGACACUUCAAAUCAAGCACAUGGUUUGGUCAAGUUGCAACAGACCCUUCUUUCUAAGAUCUCUGGAGAUUCUAGAAGUUUGAAGAUUGAUAUUAUUUGAUACGGGAAUCAAUACAUGCUUGGUUCUAAAAAAGUUCUUUUAAUACUUGAUGAUGUUGACCACUUGACCCAAUUAGAAACAUUAGCAGGAGCUUGUGAUUGGUUUGGUGAGGGAAGUAGAAUCAUCAUCACAACAAGAGAUCAACACUUGUUGACUACUCAUGGAGUUGUUUCAACAUACAAGAUGACGAGAUUGGAUCAAAAUGAUGCUUUUCAACUAUUUUGUUGGCAUGCAUUCAAAAGAGAUAAACCAAGUAACGGUUAUGGAGAGUUUGUAGAACAGAUCGUAAAUUAUGCUGGGAGCCUUCCACUAGCUUUAGUAGUGCUGGGUUCGGAUUUAUAUGGUAGAAGUGAAAGUGAGUGGAUAAGUGCAAUGGAUGAGUACAAGCAAAUCCCUCACGAAGAUAUUCAAAAAAUACUUCAAACAAGUUAUGAUAGAUUAAGAGAAAAUGAAAAGAAUGCUUUUCGUGACAUUGCAUGUUUUUUCGAUGGAGAACAGCUUGAUGAUGUCAUUAAUAUGCUAGAUAUUUUUGGUUUUUCCCCAAACUUUUCGAUCCCAAGACUUAAGGAAAAGUGUCUUAUUUCAGAAUUCGAUGGAAGAUUGCAAAUGCAUAACUUAUUACGAGAUAUGGGUAGAGAAGUUGUUCGACAAGAGUCACCAAAAAUUCCCGAAGUGCGUAGCAGACUGUUCAUUCCUGCAGAAGUUCGUGAUGUACUUGAGAAUGAUACAGGAGGGGUCAACGUUGAAGCAAUACUGGUAGAUUUGCCUAAAGGCGAUGACAUUAUCCACUUGAGUCCGAAGGCCUUCGAAAAUAUGAGAAGACUCAGAUUCUUUAGAGUCUGCAAUGCACAGUUUGUUGGAGAUCAACUUGAGUCACUACCUGAUGAAAUAAGAGUGAUUGAUUGGCCCAAAUGUCCUUUGCAAUAUCUGCCACCUAAAUUUCGUGGAAACAAACUCGUUAUUUUACGAAUGCCCGAUAGUCUCAUCCGACCGAUUCGCUUCGAAUUUAAGAAUCUUACGAUUAUGGAUUUUUCGGAUUGUCAAUUAUUAACGGAAUGCCCGGAUAUUUCAAGCUGCCCAAAUUUGAAGGAAAUGCAUCUUAAUUAUUGUAGAAAUCUAGUUGAGGUUCAUGAUUCGGUUGGAUUCUGUGCUAAGCUUUCUGAAUUGAGUCUCGAUGAAUGUUCCAACCUCAAGAGCUUUUCAAAGAGACUCCAGUUGAGAUCUCUGCGUUUCCUUUCACUUCGUGGUUGCUCAAGCAUUCAAAACUUUCCUGAAAUUGAAUGUCAAAUACAAUAUUUAAGGGUCAUCGACUUAAAGGGAACCGCUAUAGAAGAACUACCUUCCUCCAUUGAGCACGUCACUGGGCUAGUGCAUUUAAUACUAAAAGACUGCGUAAACCUUAAGCAUCUACCAAGUUGCCUUCUUCAGUGGAAAUCUCUACGGUGGCUUGUACACGAUGAUUGCCCAAAUAUUGUAAAUUUUGGGAUGGAGGCCGUGCAUAACGGACAGUCCUCUCCAUAUAUAGUGUCUACGAGGGAAAAUGAAGCUUCGUCGAGUACAGAAUUAUUCACAAUGGCACCUCCAACAAAAUCAGCCAUUUCUCUUCUUCAAGAUUCUUCCUCAUUAAGGUUUCCGUUGUUGUAUCAAUUGGAUCUUGCAAACUCUGGCCUAACAAAAUCGAAUUUCUUUGGGCCAUUUCAUUGCUUUCCAAAUGUGGAACAUUUAGAUCUAUCACACAGUGAUAUCAUAAGCAUUCCUGCAAGCAUCAAAAGUACAUUUGUUAGAUUGAGGAAUCUUAUAUUGAAUGAUUGCAAGAAACUUCAAGAAAUUAUAGAGUUCCCAACGAAUCUAGAAGUGGUAGAUGUUGGGGGAUGCAUAUCACUGGAAAGUUUACCAGAAAUAUCAGAAGUAAUUUUCCCACGGCUAUAUUCGAUUGACUUAUUUAGAUGCUAUAAAGUGAAUAUGGGGAAUUGUAUGCCAAACCCUUUAUGGAAUCGAGCUAGCAUGAUUUUUCCAGGAAAUAAUAUUCCAGAUUGGUUCAGCUAUUGCAAGGAGAGUACUUCAAAAAGUCAUUGCUGUCAAUUAGAAAUUAAAGGGCCCCCACUAUGUUUGGAUGACAUCAUAGGAAUUGCUUUUUGUGCUGUUAUUGAAACCGUCAGCACUACUCUAAUUUGGGUUGAGAUGCCUGGAGAAGAAGAUGUUAGUCAAGAAGUACAUCUUGGUAAAAUGGAUUCAGAUCAUGUAUGCUUGUGGUACUUACCUACAGAAUAUCUUACGCGGCGAGCGAGUGAAGAGGCCGACCAUCUGAGGAUUAUAUUUGAGAGUACUCCAAAUUCAGUGAACUUCAAACGAUGCGGAGUUCAUCUGUUAUACAAACAACAUGAUGAACAGAAUGCAAAAGAUCAUGAAAAUGUUGAUGUCCAUUUGGAUGCACCCAUUAAAGAUAUUGGAAAUUUUGCAAAUCCGAUAGAUGGAAGUCCACUUUCGAAGAGGCGUCGUAUUGAUCAUGAUUAUGACGAUGAUGAUCACGACAUUGAAUCCAACUUGUACUCACAAGUUCUUUUUCCAAGACAUAAGCUAGUGGAAACAGAGUCCGUGGAGAAAAAAAUAACAUUUUACGAUAAUCGAAAAUUCACGAGGACAAGUCAUAUUUUGCGGCGACUUCGUGUCGCUGCAAAUAAGUCUGCCUCGUUUGUUUUGUUUUCGAGAUGAGAUGAGUUGACGGACAACCUUAGACCUUCGCCACCAUGUCUCUCUCUUCCCUCCUCCCCUCCUCACGUUCCCUCUCUUUCCCCGGUAACUCCCUCUCCUCCUCCUGAUUUUUCCCCCAACAGAAUCUUCGUCUCGACCCCCUUCCUCAAUGUGCCACAGCCAUGACAACAGCAACUCAGGCCACCAUGAGCCUCCAUGCUCAGCCACCCGAUUCAAUAUGUUUUGGUAUAGCCUCAAGCGGCAAGCAGCAAGCAACACUCCAGCCCCUUAAUUUUUGGGGCUUAUGAGCAGGAGAGAAGUAUUCGUGAAGGUAGAAACAAAAGAAAUUAGUUCAACCUACUGCUUGAUGAGGUAGAAUAAAAUUAUGCUCUGUUAUGAUUUAGGCAAUUUGGGUUCUGUUAUUGUUUCUGCUGUAGAUUUAGCUCUAUCAUUUCCUCUAAUCAACUAUGUUUAAAUCUCCAUUUUUUUUGGUAUGUCAAACCAUUAUAAAUCAAUGCGAACGUGAGCCACAAGUCCCUUGCAUCAAACCAGCUCCAUCUCUCUUUGGCAGCUGUUACAUUCCUUUCACUUAGGCAAAUUUAUUUUUUGUUCUUGCCUCAUAUUCCUCCAGUUUUAUUAGAUUAUAGCACCUAAACACCUAAGUUAGUUGCUGCACAUCAAACCAACCCUCUAAUCACGUCAUUCUCAUCCCUUCUCACUACUAGCCAUCUCAAGCUCCAAGCCACAAAUGCUAUAAGGAUUGAACUAGAAUUACUGCAAGGCAUUAUAGCAGCAGAAUUUCAGUCCUUGUAACUCUCAGUUUUGAGUUCAGUCUUCUAUAUUCCUUCCCUUAUUAAGUUUUGUUUGCUUUUGUUUUGCACGUGAAUCUAUGUUGUUGUGGCAUUUAGCUAGCCUCUUGUUUGCUUUUGUGUUGCGCUUGCAUCUUGUCUUUUGGGAUUGACUUUGUUGGAGGAAAUAAUUGGGGUUUAUAAAACUUACUGUCUUGUCU